rnacentral:tRNA from 1 species
CCCUGGGUGGCACAAACGGUUAAGCAUUAGGCUACUAACCGAAAGGUUGGUGGUUCGAACUCACCCACAGGCA